rnacentral:tmRNA from 1 species
GCUAAUAUAGCUAUAGUAAUAAACGUAAUUUAGAAUAGAGGUUGCGGACUCGGGGGCAGUACCCGACGCCUCCACCAAAACUUUCUAAAUAAUUUGCUCCUAAAGGUAAUUUGUACGUCGAUCCGGUAUUCGAAUCCUCACGUUACUUGCGUGUACCCUGCGGUGCUGCGUUCCGUGUCGCCUUCAAAUUUCUCUUUAUUCGCUACGUCAUUUAGAAAAGUUUAAAUAUGUAAUAACUCUUAAAGAGUAGACAAUACGAAGUUCAUCGAGUAUUUUUGGGGGGCGAAAUAGGAUCGACGUGCCUAAAAAAAGAUUGCUUUUACUCGGGAUGAUUCCGCCGAUGGCUUGUGCCAUAUGGGUCAAAACAAAGAAACGCAAACGAUAAUAAUCGUUCUGUAGGUCGUUUAGCUUUAGCAGCUUAAUCCUACGCGGCUGGAGGGUGUGCCGGGCAACAGAAAAACCCUCACU